ACUGCUCAGUAACACGUGGACAAUCUGCCCUGAAGUGGAGAAUAAUCCCGGGAAACUGGGGGUAAUACUCCAUAGUUCGUUAUUACUGGAAUGUUUUUCGAACGAAAGAUCCGUCGCUUCAGGAUGAGUCUGCGGCCGAUUAGGUAGUUGUUGGGGUAAUUGCCCAACAAGCCUGUAAUCGGUACGGGUUGUGGGAGCAAGAGCCCGGAGAUGGAUUCUGAGACACGAAUCCAGGCCCUACGGGGCGCAGCAGGCGCGAAAACUUUACCAUGCGGGCAACCGUGAUAAGGAAACCCCGAGUGCCAGCACAGGCUGGCUGUCCGCCAGUUUAAACAACUGGCGAAGAAAGGGCCGGGCAAGACCGGUGCCAGCCGCCGCGGUAAUACCGGCGGCUCGAGUGGUGGCCGCUAUUACUGGGCUUAAAGGGUCCGUAGCUUGAUAAUAGGGUCCCUUGAGAAAUCCGCCGGCUUAACUGGCGGGCGUUCAGGGGAAACUUGUUUUCUAGGGACCGGGAGAGGUGAGGGGUACUGCCGGGGUAGGAGUGAAAUCCUGUAAUCCCGGUGGGACCACCUAUGGCGAAGGCAUCUCACCAGAACGGGUCCGACAGUGAGGGACGAAAGCUGGGGGAGCAAACCGGAUUAGAUACCCUGGUAGUCCCAGCUGUAAACUAUGUGCGUUAGGUGUGUCAGUGACCACGUGUCACUGAGGUGCCGAAGGGAAACCGUGAAACGCACCGCCUGGGGAGUACGGUCGCAAGGCUGAAACUUAAAGGAAUUGGCGGGGGAGCAC
rnacentral:rRNA from 1 species